UACGUAGGGUGCAAGCGUUAUCCGGAAUUAUUGGGCGUAAAGAGCUCGUAGGCGGUUUGUCGCGUCUGCUGUGAAAACCCGAGGCUCAACCUCGGGCCUGCAGUGGGUACGGGCAAACUAGAGUGCGGUAGGGGAGAUUGGAAUUCCUGGUGUAGCGGUGGAAUGCGUAGAUAUCAGGAGGAACACCGGUGGCGAAGGCGGCUCUCUGGUCCACAACUGACGCUGAGGUGCGAAAGCUAGGGGAGCAAACGGG
rnacentral:rRNA from 1 species